rnacentral:rRNA from 1 species
CCGCGUCGCAUAGCUAGUUGGUGAGGUAACGGCUCACCAAGGCAACGAUGCGUAGCCGACCUGAGAGGGUGAUCGGCCACACUGGGACUGAGACACGGCCCAGACUCCUACGGGAGGCAGCAGUAGGGAAUCUUCCGCAAUGGACGAAAGUUGACGGGCAACGCCGCGUGAGUGAUGAAGGCUUUCGGGUCGUAAAACUCUGUUGUUAGGGAAGAACAAGUGCUAGUUGAAUAAGCUGGCACCUUGACGGUACCUAACCAGAAAGCCACGGCUAACUACGUGCCAGCAGCCGCGGUAAACGUAGGUGGCAAGCGUUAUCCGGAUUAUUGGGCGUAAAGCGCGCGCAGGUGGUUUCUUAAGUCUGAUGUGAAAGCCCACGGCUCAACCGUGGAGGGUCAUUGGAAACUGGGAGCUUGAGUGCAGAAGAGGAAAGUGGAAUUCCAUGUGUAGCGGUGAAAUGCGUAGAGAUAUGGAGGAACACCAGUGGCGAAGGCGACUUUCUGGUUGUAACUGACACUGAGGCGCGAAAGCGUGGGGAGCAAACAGGAUUAGAUACCCUGUAGUCCACGCCGUAAACGAUGAGUGCUAAGUGUUAGAGGGUUUCCGCCCUUUAGUGCUGAAGUUAACGCAUUAAGCACUCCGCCUGGGGAGUACGGCCGCAAGGCUGAAACUCAAAGGAAUUACGGGGGCCCGCACAAGCGGUGGAGCAUGUGGUUUAAUUCAAGCAACGCGAAGAACCUUACCAGGUCUUGACAUCCUCUGAAAACCCUAGAGAUAGGGCUUCUCCUUCGGGAGCAGAGUGACAGGUGGUGCAUGGUUGUCGUCAGCCGUGUCGUGAGAUGUUGGGUUAAGUCCCGCAACGAGCGCACCCUUGAUCUUAGUUGCCAUCAUUAAGUUGGGCACUCUAAGGUGACUGCCGGUGACAAACCGGAGGAAGGUGGGGAUGACGUCAAAUCAUAUGCCCCUUAUGACCUGGG